rnacentral:rRNA from 1 species
GUGGGGAAUAUUGGACAAUGGGGGGAACCCUGAUCCAGCCAUGCCGCGUGUGUGAAGAAGGCCUUUUGGUUGUAAAGCACUUUAAGCGAGGAGGAGGCUACCGAGAUUAAUACUCUUGGAUAGUGGACGUUACUCGCAGAAUAAGCACCGGCUAACUCUGUGCCAGCAGCCGCGGUAAUACAGAGGGUGCAAGCGUUAAUCGGAUUUACUGGGCGUAAAGCGCGCGUAGGUGGCAAAUUAAGUCAAAUGUGAAAUCCCCGAGCUUAACUUGGGAAUUGCAUUCGAUACUGGUUGGCUAGAGUAUGGGAGAGGAUGGUAGAAUUCCAGGUGUAGCGGUGAAAUGCGUAGAGAUCUGGAGGAAUACCGAUGGCGAAGGCAGCCAUCUGGCCUAAUACUGACACUGAGGUGCGAAAGCAUGGGGAGCAAACAGGAUUAGAAACCCUGGUAGUCC